rnacentral:lncRNA from 1 species
AAAAUCGUGAAAAAUAGUGAUCGAAAUGCAUUUUUAAUUUCAAAAUGCUUACUUACAUCAGACGAUGAAAGAGAGCCGUUCUCUGACAACUCUGAUAUAGAUGGAGAUUAUGUUCCAAGUAGCAGUGGUCGCGAUGAUGCUGAAGUGCAAAACUUGAAUGAAGCUGGGAAUGGGAAGUCCAGAAAAAGGGUUCGUAAAACUGCGACAUGGAAAAGAAAUUGUUCAAAAAUUCGAAGAAACAGUGGCCAGGAAUACGUUGGUCGCAAGGGUGAACUACAUCAUGCAAAAUCUGUUAAGGCUUAUGACCAUACAUGCAGAUACAAGUGUACAGAAAAUUUUACGGAGGAAGUUAGAAACACAAUUUUUACUGAUUAUUGGAAUCUUGGAAACAAAACUAAUGGAUGGGAUCUACAGAGCACCUUUAUUGCAUCAUGCAUACAAAAUAAUGCGCCAAAAAUGCACCGUCUAAAAAUCACCAAACAAAAGAGUAUUAGCACUGUGAUAAAACUUCAAAAUAAACGUGUAUGCAAAGAGUUUUUUCUGAGAACUCUAGGUAUUAGCCGCAAACGGUUUUAUAACGUCACAAAGAAAAAGAAGGAGUCUGGAGUCGUCCAAACGGAUCAAAGGGGAAGACAUGUCCCUAGCAAUAAAAUAGACGAUGAGUCUUUAAACUUAGCAAAACAGCAUAUAAACUCGUUCCCAAAAUUUGUGAGUCAUUAUACUAGAAAAGACAAUCCGAAUCGCAAGUAUUUGUCUCCCGAGUUAAAUGUAACAAAAAUGUACAAGCUAUACAAAGAAUUUUGUCACGAAAAAGAAGCCCGACCAUUAAAUCUGAGCAAAUACCGCGACAUUUUUAAUAACCAUUUCAACUUAGCUUUUCACCGACCAUAUUCAGACACAUGUACAAAGUUUGACACGUUCAUUACUCAGAAAAAUUCUUGUGAUCCAGAAUCUGAAGAGGGCUCCCGCGUUGCCAGAGAACAUGAUCGUCAUCUACGUCAAGCUGAAGCAGCCAAAAAUGUAAAAAACGCCGCCAAGGAAUCAGCAAGACAGUGUCCAGAAAAACGUGCUAUUUGUUUUGAUCUACAAAAACCUUACCCACUCCGCAUUUGACAUGCAGCAAAGUAUAUUAUUUGCGCCAGCUAUGGACUUACAAUAUAGGAAUCUACGAUUUAUCAUCCGGAAUUGGUAAUAUGUACAUGUGGCAUGAAGGUGAAGGGUCGAAAAGUUCUCAAGAAGUCAUGUCAUGUUUGCUGAAGUAUAUUGAAAGUUUCCCAAAAACAGUGACACACAUCGAUGCAUUCAGUGAUAACUGUGGUGGUCGAAACAAGAACAAGAACAUAAUAAAAUUUUGGAUGUAUAUUGUGCAAUUUACACAUAUCGAAAGUGUUGACCACCGUUUUUUUGUUUCGGGACAUUCCUUUAUGGAAUGCGAUCAAGAUUUUGCCAUUAUUGAAAAAGCAAUGAGACGGCUAACUCACGUUUUUACUCCCGAUGAUUGGGUUAAUUUUAUAGCAGGAGUCAGUAGAAAAUUUAUUGUAGUAAAAAUGCAACCUGAGGAUUUUAAAUCUAUAUCUCCCAUGGACAACAUCAUGAAAUCAAAUCUUACAGGAAUAAGUAAAAUGCAAUGGCUACAUUUCAAAAAACGUAUCCAAUGAAACUUUCUUAUAAUGAAAUUUAUAAUAGUGCUUUUCCUUUUGAAGAAAUGGAUCUUUCUAAAAAAACUGCCUUGCGUGGUAGACCUUCAAAAAUUCUUCUACCUGCUUUAUAUGACAGUCCUCCAAAAAUAAAAUUAGCAAAAUUCAAUAAUUUGAUGCAGCUUCUACCAUAUGUACCACCAAUACACCAUGAUUUCUAUAAGUCGUUGAAUCCAGGACAGACGUUGAAUGCAGGCUAUCAAACAAACGGGCGAAACGAUGAAGAUUAUACUCUCGGUGACAUGGUUGAAUCGGAUGAUGAUUUAUAUUAAUACAAAACCUUCUGUAACUAUUUUUUAUUAAAGUCUAUUCUAUUA